UGUACAUAGAUGGAUCCUCAAACUCGAUAGGCUUAGGAGUCGGGCAGUCCUCAUCAACUCAAAAGGUGUGGUUGCUAAAUACAUCCUGCAGUUUGGAUUUAAGACCUCGAACAACAAGAUGGAGUAUCAAUCCCUUCUAGUUGGCAUCAGGAUCGCAAAGGAGUUGGGUGUGCAACAAUUGAAGAUCUACAAUAACAAAA
rnacentral:lncRNA from 1 species